AGCCCCGUACACAAAAAUGCACAUACUGUGAGCUCGAUGAGUAGGGCGGGACACGUGGUAUCCUGUCUGAAUAUGGGGGGACCAUCCUCCAAGGCUAAAUACUCCUGACUGACCGAUAGUGAACCAGUACCGUGAGGGAAAGGCGAAAAGAACCCCGGCGAGGGGAGUGAAAAAGAACCUGAAACCGUGUACGUACAAGCAGUGGGAGCCUCUUUAUGGGGUGACUGCGUACCUUUUGUAUAAUGGGUCAGCGACUUAUAUUCUGUAGCAAGGUUAACCGAAUAGGGGAGCCGAAGGGAAACCGAGUCUUAACUGGGCGUUAAGUUGCAGGGUAUAGACCCGAAACCCGGUGAUCUAGCCAUGGGCAGGUUGAAGGUUGGGUAACACUAACUGGAGGACCGAACCGACUAAUGUUGAAAAAUUAGCGGAUGACUUGUGGCUGGGGGUGAAAGGCCAAUCAAACCGGGAGAUAGCUGGUUCUCCCCGAAAGCUAUUUAGGUAGCGCCUCGUGAAUUCAUCUCCGGGGGUAGAGCACUGUUUCGGCAAGGGGGUCAUCCCGACUUACCAACCCGAUGCAAACUGCGAAUACCGGAGAAUGUUAUCACGGGAGACACACGGCGGGUGCUAAC
rnacentral:rRNA from 1 species